CCAAUAGCGUAUAUUAAAGUUGUUGCAGUUAAAAAGCUCGUAGUUGAAUUUCGGGAUUAGUACGCUGGUCGUGCCUUCGGUACGUACUGGUGUUACUGAUUCCUACCUUCUGACGAACCAUCAUGUCAUUAAUUUGGUGUGGUGGGAAAUCAGGACUGUUACUUUGAAAAAAUUAGAGUGUUUAAAGCAGGCUCGCGCUUGAAUACAUUAGCAUGGAAUAAUGAAAUAGGACGUUGAUCCUAUUUUGUUGGUUUCUAGGAUUGACGUAAUGAUUAAUAGGGAUAGUUGGGGGCAUUAGUAUUCAAUUGUCAGAGGUGAAAUUCUUGGAUUUAUUGAAGACUAACUACUGCGAAAGCAUUUGCCAAGGAUGUUUUCAUUAAUCAAGAACGAAAGUUAGUGGAUCGAAGACGAUCAGAUACCGUCGUAGUCUUAACCAUAAACUAUGCCGACUAGGGAUCGGAUGAUGUUAUUUUUAAUGACUCAUUCGGCGCCUUAUG
rnacentral:rRNA from 1 species